GGCCCCGUAGUACAAUGGAUAGUAUAUAAGUUUCCGGAACUUAGGAUCCAGGUUCGAUCCCUGGCGGGGCUACAA
rnacentral:tRNA from 1 species